UUCCGGUUGAUCCUGCCGGACCCCACUGCUAUCGAGAUGGGACUAAGCCAUGCUAGUUGCAACGGUGACGAGUAGCAUACCGCUCAGUAACACGUAGCUAACCUACCCUUGGGACGGAGACACCCCCGGGAAACUGGGGACAAUACCAGAUAGGUGUGGAGGCCUGGAAUGGUUCCACGCUCAAAUGACGUCGUGCCCGAGGACGGGGCCGCGACCGAUCAGGUAGUUGGUGAGGCAACGGCUCACCAAGCCUAUAACCGGUACGGGCCGUGAGAGCGGGAGCCCGGAGAUGGGAACUGAGACAAGGUCCCAGGCCCUACGGGGCGCAGCAGUCGCGCAAACUCUGCAAUGCACGAAAGUGUGACAGGGCUACCCCGAGUGCCGUCCGCUGAGGAUGGCUUUUCUCUGCUGUAAGGAGGCGGAGGAAUAAGGAGAGGGCAAGCUCUGGUGUCAGCCGCCGCGGUAAUACCAGCUCUCCGAGUGGUAGGGAUGAUUAUUGGGCCUAAAGCAUCCGUAGCUGGCUGGACAAGUCCCCUGUUAAAUCCACCGAUUUAAUCGUUGGUGUGCGGGGGAUACUGUUUGGCUAGGGGACGGGAGAGGCCGACGGUAUUUUCGGGGUAGGGGUGAAAUCCUAUAAUCCCGGGAAGACCACCAGUGGCGUAGGCGGUCGGCUAGCACGCGCUCGACGGUGAGGGACGAAAGCUGGGGGAGCGAACCGGAUUAGAUACCCGGGUAGUCUCAGCUGUAAACGAUGCUGGCUAGGUGUUGAAGCGGCUACGAGCCGCUUCAGUGCCGCAGGGAAGCCAUUAAGCCAGCCGCCUGGGGAGUACGGCCGCAAGGCUGAAACUUAAAGGAAUUGGCGGGGGAGCACCACAAGGGGUGAAGCUUGCGGUUUAAUUGGAUUCAACGCCGGA
rnacentral:rRNA from 1 species